UGAACGCUGGCGGCAGGCCUAACACAUGCAAGUCGAGCGGAUGAAGGGAGCUUGCUCCUGGAUUCAGCGGCGGACGGGUGAGUAAUGCCUAGGAAUCUGCCUGGUAGUGGGGGAUAACGUCCGGAAACGGGCGCUAAUACCGCAUACGUCCUGAGGGAGAAAGUGGGGGAUCUUCGGACCUCACGCUAUCAGAUGAGCCUAGGUCGGAUUAGCUAGUUGGUGGGGUAAAGGCCUACCAAGGCGACGAUCCGUAACUGGUCUGAGAGGAUGAUCAGUCACACUGGAACUGAGACACGGUCCAGACUCCUACGGGAGGCAGCAGUGGGGAAUAUUGGACAAUGGGCGAAAGCCUGAUCCAGCCAUGCCGCGUGUGUGAAGAAGGUCUUCGGAUUGCAAAGCACUUUAAGUUGGGAGGAAGGGCAGUAAGUUAAUACCUUGCUGUUUUGACGUUACCAACAGAAUAAGCACCGGCUAACUUCGUG
rnacentral:rRNA from 1 species